UACGGAGGAUCCGAGCGUUAUCCGGAUUUAUUGGGUUUAAAGGGUGCGCAGGCGGAAUAUUAAGUCGGCGGUGAAAGUUUGCAGCUUAACUGUAAAAUUGCCGUUGAUACUGGUAUUCUUGAGUGUAUAUGAAGUAGGCGGAAUUUGUAGUGUAGCGGUGAAAUGCAUAGAUAUUACAAGGAACUCCGAUUGCGAAGGCAGCUUACUAAAAUACAACUGACGCUCAGGCACGAAGGCGUGGGGAUCAAACAGGAUUAGAUACCCCCGUAGUCCCU
rnacentral:rRNA from 1 species